rnacentral:rRNA from 1 species
CCCUAGUAACGGCGAGUGAAGCGGGAAGAGCUCAAAUUUGUAAUCUGGCGGCUCUUGGUCGUCCGAGUUGUAGUCUGGAGAAGCGUUUUCCGUGCCGGACCGUGUACAAGUCCCUUGGAACAGGGCGUCACAGAGGGUGAGAAUCCCGUCUUUGACACGGACUGCCGGUGCCUUGCGAUGCGCUCUCGAAGAGUCGAGUUGUUUGGGAAUGCAGCUCAAAACGGGUGGUAAAUUCCAUCUAAAGCUAAAUAUGGGCGAAAGACCGAUAGCGAACAAGUACCGUGAGGGAAAGAUGAAAAGCACUUUGGAAAGAGAGUUAAACAGUACGUGAAAUUGUUGAAAGGGAAACGCUUGAAGUCAGUCGCGUCUCCCGGGAUUCAGCCUCGCUUCUGCGGAGUGUACUUCCCGGGGCGACGGGCCAGCAUCGAUUUCGAUCGUCGGAGAAGGGCUCUGGGAACGUGGCACCUUCGGGUGUGUUAUAGCCCGGGGUCGCAUGCGACGAUUGGGAUCGAGGAUCGCAGCACGCCUUUGAUUGGCCGGGGUUCGCCCACGUAACGUGCUUAGGAUGCUGGCGUAAUGGCUUUAAGCGACCCGUCUUGAAACACGGACCAAGGAGUCUAACAUGCCUGCGAGUGUUUGGGUGGAAAACCCGGACGCGAAAUGAAAGUGAAAGGUCGGGACCCCUGUCGUGGGGGGCACCGACGCCCGG